rnacentral:rRNA from 3 species
GAUGAAGAACGCAGCGAAAUGCGAUAAGUAAUGUGAAUUGCAGAAUUCAGUGAAUCAUCGAAUCUUUGAACGCACCUUGCGCUCCUUGGUAUUCCGAGGAGCAUGCCUGUUUGAGUGUCAUUAAAUUCUCAACCUCACCAGUUUUGUUAUGAAACUGUGUA